AUUGAACGCUGGCGGCAGGCCUAACACAUGCAAGUCGAACGAGUGGCGGACGGGUGAGUAAUGUCUGGGAAACUGCCUGAUGGAGGGGGAUAACUACUGGAAACGGUAGCAAAUACCGCAUACCAUCGGAUGUGCCCAGAUGGGAUUAGCUAGUAGGUGGGGUAAAGGCACACCUAGUGGACUCUCCCUAGCUGGUCUGAGAGGAUGACCAGCCACACUGGAACUGAGACACGGUCCAGACUCCUACGGGAGGCAGCAGUGGGGAAUAUUGCACAAUGGGCGAAAGCCUGAUGCAGCCAUGCCGCGUGUAUGAAGAAGGCCUUCGGGUUGUAAAGUACUUUCGGCGGGGAGGCGUUACCCGCAGAAGAAGCACCGGCUAACUCCGUGCCAGCAGCCGCGGUAAUUC
rnacentral:rRNA from 1 species